rnacentral:rRNA from 1 species
GCACAAGCGGAGGAACAUGUGGUUAAUUCGAUGAUACGCGAGGAACCUUACCUGGGCUUAAAUGUAGAGUGCAUGAGGUAGAAAUUACCUCUUUUCUUCGGAACUCUCUGCAAGGUGCUGCAUGGUUGUCGUCAGCUCGUGCCGUGAGGUGUCGGGUUAAGUCCCAUAACGAGCGCAACCCUUAUCGUUAGUUGCCAGCGGGUAAUGCCGGGGACUCUAGCGAAACUGCCGGUGUAAACCGAGAGGAAGGUGGGGAUGACGUCAAAUCAGCACGGCCCUUAUGUCCAGGGCUACACACGUGUUACAAUGGCCGGUACAGAGGGCAGCUACCUGGAGACAGGAUGCGAAUCUCGAAAGCCGGUCUCAGUUCGGAUCGGAGUCUGCAACUCGACUCCGUGAAGCUGGAUUCGCUAGUAAUCGCGCAUCAGCCAUGGCGCGGUGAAUACGUUCCCGGGCCUU